GAAUCCCUGAAACAUACACUUCAUUUUGUCCAGGCUUCUAUUCCUGCUGAGAGUAAUUUGGUCAGGCAGAGAGUUUACAGGGAAAGGGUACCCACUGUCAUAACUUCUCAGGACAACAGACUGGCCCCCAGGACUCGCUGCAGCCUUGGUGAACUCCCGCUCCUGCGGGUCCUGGCUGUAAUCAAAAGUCUGCAGCAUGUGCCCUUCCUUUCCACAGGCCACAGUCUUCCGGUCACAGCCAGCAGCCACAAUGCUACUGGUUGCCCAAGCCAAGGCAUACAGUGGGCAUGGGUGGUUAACCAGCUUCCCUUCAGACAGAAGGAAAGGGUUUCAGUCAUACUUUUAGGGCUCCAACCCAGAAAUUCCUCAUCCAGACACCAAGGACACAGGUUGGGAAGCAGAAGGGUGGAUGCUUCAUACUUGCUGGGAAACGGAGUAGCCAAUGAAGAUGCUGCCUUCUGGGACGUCCAAGGACACAGUGGCCGAGUUGGCUUGGGGCUGUCUGGGUAUGAGGCAGCUAUGCCGAUCACAGAGAAGUCAAAUCCACUGACCUGGGACUUGGACAAAGCAGAUGCUGGGAAAAUCGUUCAGUUGCUGGGGCAGUGUGAUGCUGAGAUCUUCCAGGAGAAGGGGCAAGGCAUGCCUGCCUACCAGCGACUGUACAGCGAAUCAGUUCUGACCACCAUGCUGCAAGUGGCCGGGAAAGUGCAGGAAGUGCUGAAGGAGCCAGAUGGGGGGCUGGUGGUGCUGAGUGGAGGGGGCACCUCUGGAUGGAUGACAUUCCUCAUGUCGGUGUGGCUCCAGCCAUAGCUUUGAUGUGUUUUCAUUCUCUGCAUUGACUUCAAGAGCCCAGCCCUGUUGACUUCCUGCAGUAUUUCUACCUUAGCUGUCUAUGUCAACUUGAUGCGCUUCCUAGGGAGGAAAUGUAAUAAAAUCACGUUUCUUUUUACUUUUUGAGACAGGAUCUCACUGUAUUGCCUGUUCUGUGAACUUGGGAUCCUCCUGCCUCAGCCCUGCAUCCUACCCCCAGUAGCUGGAACUUCAGGUGCCCCCUGCAGGUGUGCCCUUGCACUCACACAGGCCAUGAUUUUUUUUUUUCUGUUGAAGUUAUUUUAUUUUAUUUUUUUAUUUUUUGGUAUAUCCUUUUAUCAGUACAUUUUAGGUGUACAAUAUAAUGACAUUCAUCAUUGGAAAUUUGCACCUUUACAUACUCUCUUGGUUCUUAUUUAUUCCCCAUUCCCCUACCCUCCCUUCAACCCCUCCAUCCCUCCCUAUUUACAAAGACUUUGUUUCCUUUUUUUCAUUUUCUCAUUAAUUCCAUUCCCUUCUUUCCUUUCCCCUACCCCUCCCACUUCCCCCGCCCCUUUGCCCCU
rnacentral:lncRNA from 1 species